rnacentral:rRNA from 1 species
UGAGGAAUAUUGGUCGAUGGACGAGAGUCCGAACCAGCCAAGUAGCGUGCAGGAUGACGGCCCUAUGGGUUGUAAACUGCUUUUAUGUGGGAAUAAAUAAGAUUACGUGUAAUCUGUUGCAUGUACCACAUGAAUAAGGACCGGCUAAUUCCGUGCCAGCAGCCGCGGUAAUACGGAAGGUCCGGGCGUUAUCCGGAUUUAUUGGGUUUAAAGGGAGCGUAGGCGGUCUGUUAAGCGUGUUGUGAAAUGUAACGGCUCAACCGUUGACUUGCAGCGCGAACUGGCAGUCUUGAGUGCGCAGGAAGUAGGCGGAAUUCGUGGUGUAGCGGUGAAAUGCUUAGAUAUCACGAAGAACUCCGAUUGCGAAGGCAGCUUAC